GAUGAACGCUGGCGGCGUGCCUAAUACAUGCAAGUCGAGCGAACGGACGAGAAGCUUGCUUCUCUGAUGUUAGCGGCGGACGGGUGAGUAACACGUGGAUAACCUACCUAUAAGACUGGGAUAACUUCGGGAAACCGGAGCUAAUACCGGAUAAUAUUUUGAACCGCAUGGUUCAAAAGUGAAAGACGGUCUUGCUGUCACUUAUAGAUGGAUCCGCGCUGCAGUAGCUAGUUGGUAAGGUAACGGCUUACCAAGGCAACGAUGCAUAGCCGACCUGAGAGGGUGAUCCGCCACACUGGAACUGAGACACGGUCCAGACUCCUACGGGAGGCAGCAGUAGGGAAUCUUCCGCAAUGGGCGAAAGCCUGACGGAGCAACGCCGCGUGAGUGAUGAAGGUCUUCGGAUCGUAAAACUCUGUUAUUAGGGAAGAACAUAUGUGUAAGUAACUGUGCGCAUCUUGACGGUACCUAAUCAGAAAGCCACGGCUAACUACGUG
rnacentral:rRNA from 1 species